GACGAACGCUGGCGGCGUGCCUAACACAUGCAAGUCGAACGAGAUCCAUGGGAGCUUGCUCCCGGAAGAUCUAGUGGCGAACGGGUGAGUAACACGUGAGAAACCUGCCCUGGAGUGGGGAAUAACUCGGGGAAACUCGAGCUAAUACCGCAUACCCUCGGAUGGUCGCAUGGCCGACCGAGGAAAGAUUUAUCGCUCUAGGAGGGUCUCGCGGCCUAUCAGCUAGUUGGUGGGGUAACGGCCUACCAAGGCAACGACGGUAGCUGGUUUGAGAGAACGAUCAGCCACACUGGGACUGAGACACGGCCCAGACUCCUACGGGAGGCAGCAGUGGGGAAUCUUGCGCAAUGGGCGAAAGCCUGACGCAGCAACGCCGCGUGCGGGAUGACGGCCUUCGUGGUUGUAAACCGCUUCUAGCAGGACGAAAUGACGGUACCUGCAGAAGAAGCCCGGCUAACUACGUGCCAGCAGCCGCGGUAAU
rnacentral:rRNA from 1 species